rnacentral:misc_RNA from 1 species
CUUUUUAUCGGCGGCAGCAGCUGUACUCGUACGGCUGUUGUUGUUUGAUAUUUCCACCCUUGUCUUUUGCGCACCCCCCGUUUCCUCGGCUGCUCUAGCCAGCCGUCAGGACACUUUUAUAACCUUUUGUACUGUACGAUCAGCGUCUGAAAAUAAGAAAUUAUUA